GACUCUGGUGACAAAUGCAGCGUUAGUUUAAGUGCUUACAAACUCAUCUUUUUUUAUUUUUAAACAGGUUUUCCCUCCAAGUAAUGCAGUUAGAGAGAGAGAGAGAGAAGAAAAAAAAAGUUCUGUUUUCUUCUGCUUUUGCCUUGCUCAGCUCCAGGCCUUUAUUCAGAGUGUUGUAGUUGCACUGGUGCCCUGGCAGAAGUUUACACAUUGAGGAAAGGAGUUUCCUGGACUAAUUCUGCCACAGACAUUCCAGCUAAAUGCAACAGCCUGGAAGGGCUCCAGAGCAGAGACCCUGAAAAACACAACCCAGCUGGUCUGAGAGAUAAUAGCUGCCAAGUGAGCGUAGCUGUCUGCAAGAAGUCACGCACGGGGAUGUGGCUUUGACUCUUCUGUCCUUGGAUAUUUUGAAAUGUGAAUCAAAGUCAUUAGGCUGCCAAUGGUCUUGCCUAAAGACUAAAGGAGGCAAAAAUCUGUAUUUAAUGGCCAUAGAGGUUCUGGAUUGUGGCAUGGGUUACUGUCUACUCACUCAUGACUCCGUAGUGGCAUAGAAUGUUUCUUUCCAUUAGUUGUAUUCUUACAGUGCUGAUAUUCAAGAAAAUAUGUUUUUCCUUCCAUCUCUAGGACCUUUGCUUCUUUUCCUUACAAAGUCAACCGACCAGUUUGCCUGAAGGCAUGGUGACUGCAGGUGUGUGGUCCUGCAGUGGGAUCUUCACCAGCUUCAGCUGAUGGGUGGGAAAUCAAACUCUUCUACACUGUGAACUUGAGUAUUGCUUUGAUUACAUAGGCUGGACUGGGUUUAUACUCUUGAAUUCUGGCUUAGACAAACCUGCCAGAAAUGAAAGGUAGUUGUUAAUAUUAAAGUUGGUGGAUGAGGUGAAAAGGAUUUAAUGUAUAACUGUUAAGAAAAAUGCACAUCCAGUAGAAAUAUUCUGAAGAAGCAGCAGAUUUUAUUGUGGUUCUGUGGUGAGGUCAGGAAUAGCUCUAUCAGGAAAGACAUUGAAAGUAUUCUCCCUGAGAUGCAGAAUGCUUUCUGGAGCUUCCCAAAUGAUGAAUGAGGAACUAGUACAGUAGCCACCAAAGAGAUGCAGAUGCUGCUCACCAGCAGCCUGGCCACUCUUACCACACAGUGCUGUGAGCCUAGCAAAACAGGUUUCAUCUGGAUUAGCCUUCAUUCCCACUGACAUCUUAGGAGCUGGAUAUCCCUGUAAAUAUAAAAUUAGACACCAUUUCUCCUCACAGCACACUAGAGACAUUAUUAUAAUACCUCUGCCCCAAAUUUCCUUGAAUUUGUGACUAGUCAAGUUUUUCCUAUCAGAACCUGAAUCCCUCCUCCCCCCUCUUUUUCUUUCAUGCACUAUCUUUUUAACUUAUUAAAAAAAGGGAA
rnacentral:lncRNA from 1 species